CAGAGGGAGGUAGAGAGAAACUGUAGAGAGAGAGCCAGAGGGAGGUAGAGAAAACUGUAGAGAGAGAGCCAGCGGGAGAGAGAUAGCCAGAGGGAGAGAGAGAGAGAGGGGUAGAGAGAGCCAGAGGGAGAGAGAGAGAGAGGGGUAGAGAGAGCCAGAGAGAGAGAGAGAGCCAGGGGGAGAGAGAGAGGGGUAGAGAGGUAGAGAGAGAGAGGGGUAGAGAGGUAGAGAGAGAGCCAGAGGGAGAGAGGGGUAGAGAGGUGGAGAGAGAGCCAGAGGUAGAGAGAGAGCCAGAAGGAGAGAGAGACAAAGAGCAUAGAAUAUGACAUAUCUAAAGGUAUAAACAGACAGACAGAGAAAGA
ensembl:lncRNA